rnacentral:tRNA from 1 species
GCGUCGGUGGUUCAGUGGUAGAUAACUCGCCUGCCACGCGGGUGGCCCGGGUUCGAUUCCCGGCCGACGCA